rnacentral:rRNA from 1 species
CAUCGCCUCUUGAUAUACAAACAUGAGAGGUCCCGCCUGCCCUGUGACCACAAGUUUAACGGCCGCGGUAUUUUGACCGUGCAAAGGUAGCGUAAUCACUUGUCUUUUAAAUGAAGACCUGUAUGAAUGGCAUAACGAGGGCUAAGCUGUCUCCUCUCCCCAGUCAAUGAAAUUGAUCUUUCCGUGCAGAAGCGGGAAUGAAAGCAUAAGACGAGAAGACCCUAUGGAGCUUAAGACACAAGGCAGCAAACGUUAAGACCCCUGGGCCAACAGCUACAACCAAGUUAGCGCCUGCCCCUUUGUCUUUGGUUGGGGCGACCGCGGGGGAACAAAAAUCCCCCACGUGGAACAGGACCUGCUCCUCAAGACCAGAGCCUCAGCUCUAGUAAACAGAAGAUCUGACCAUAAAGAUCCGGUAAUACCGAUCAACGGACCGAGUUACCCUAGGGAUAACAGCGCAAUCCCCUUUCAGAGCCCAUAUCGACAAGGGGGUUUACGACCUCGAUGUUGGAUCAGGACCCCCUAAUGGUGCAGCCGCUAUUAAGGGUUCGUUUGUUCAACGAUUAAAGUCCUACGUGAUCUGA